ACAAGCCCGAUUCCCGCUUUCUCUAUCCUUACCGAGUCACCAGGCACGCGGGAGUGGAACUUCAUUCGCCGCAGCUCCCCGCGCCCGGCUGAGCGCAGAGCAGGGGCGAGCGAAGGGGUCGCGCUCCGGUGAGGGGCCCGUUGGGUUGUCCAGGACGACCCCUUUCAAAAAUCACCCUUAUUCCGUCUGCCCGGUGCUCCAAGGAGCCCACCAACGCGGCAGUUAGCCGCUGGUCCAAGGCCCGGCGCGCAGCGGAGCUGCUGAAACCCCAGCAGAUGCGGCCGCAGCAUUCCCUGCCGCCGACAUCAUGUUUCUCCAGCUGGUCCCACAGGAGUUGGAGGAGCGGUCGCCCCCUGUCCCGCGCCAGCCCCGAGGGUCCCGGGACUCACCGCUGCUCAGCUCGUAGCCGAAGAGGGGGCCGGCGGCCGCGGGGGCGGCGGCGACGCGGCAGUCCCAGCGCUCGUGCCGGAACUGGCUCCUGCACUCCUGGAUGCCCAGGCGCGCGCCCUCGCGGAUGCUGGGCAGCAGACCACAUAAAAAGAAGGCCAGAAGCGAGAGGGGCUCUCAGCGGCCUCCCCUCCCGCGCUGGGAGCCGUGUGCGGAGGCGGAGAAAAUAGCUCGAGGCUCUCCUCCCGCGCCCAGCUGGAGACGUGCGGGAGAUGCGGGAGCUGCCCUCGCAUUCCAAGAUAUAAUUAAAUUAAGAUUCUUGAAGGAGAUCAUCCUGCAUUAUCGGGGUGGGUCCUAAAUCCAAUGACAAGAGUUCUUAUAAGAGACAGAAAAGGAGAAGAGACAGAUACCGGAAGGAGAAGAAGGCACCAAUCUUCUGAAUCUGAGAACUGAUUGGUGAAAACUGACAUUGGAGCGAUGCCACGAGGAACUUUGGGAGACACCAGAAGCCGGAAGAGCCAAGGACCAAUUACUCCCUAGAUCCUGCAGAGGAAGUGCAGCUCUUCUGACACCUUUUUGUCAGAGUUCUGACCUCCAGAACUGGAGAGGAUACAUAUCUUUUGUUUUCUCUAACCGCUCUUGUGGUACUUGGUUAUGAUAACCCUGGAAAACCAAUAAAGAUGUGGACAUAUUUGGGGGUCACUGUC